UACGUAGGCAGCGAGCGUUGUUCGGAGUUACUGGGCGUAAAGGGUGUGUAGGCGGUUCUUUAAGUUUGGUGGGAAAUCUCCCGGCUCAACCGGGAGGGUGCGCCGAAUACUGAGGGACUCGAGUGCGGGAGAGGAAAGUGGAAUUCCUGGUGUAGCGGUGAGAUGCGUAGAUAUCAGGAGGAACACCGGUGGUGUAGACGGCUUUCUGGACCGUAACUGACGCUGAGACACGAAAGCGUGGGUAGCAAACAGG
rnacentral:rRNA from 1 species